rnacentral:rRNA from 1 species
UUAAGCGACUAAGCGUACACGGUGGAUGCCCUGGCAGUCAGAGGCGAUGAAGGACGUGCUAAUCUGCGAUAAGCGUCGGUGAGGUGAUAUGAACCGUUAUAACCGGCGAUUUCCGAAUGGGGAAACCCAGUGUGUUUCGACACACUAUCAUUAACUGAAUCCAUAGGUUAAUGAGGCGAACCGGGGGAACUGAAACAUCUAAGUACCCCGAGGAAAAGAAAUCAACCGAGAUUCCCCCAGUAGCGGCGAGCGAACGGGGAGGAGCCCAGAGCCUGAAUCAGUGUGUGUGUUAGUGGAAGCGUCUGGAAAGGCGCGCGAUACAGGGUGACAGCCCCGUACACAAAAAUGCACAUAUUGUGAGCUCGAUGAGUAGGGCGGGACACGUGGUAUCCUGUCUGAAUAUGGGGGGACCAUCCUCCAAGGCUAAAUACUCCUGACUGACCGAUAGUGAACCAGUACCGUGAGGGAAAGGCGAAAAGAACCCCGGCGAGGGGAGUGAAAAAGAACCUGAAACCGUGUACGUACAAGCAGUGGGAGCCUCUUAAUGGGGUGACUGCGUACCUUUUGUAUAAUGGGUCAGCGACUUAUAUUCUGUAGCAAGGUUAACCGAAUAGGGGAGCCGAAGGGAAACCGAGUCUUAACUGGGCGUUAAGUUGCAGGGUAUAGACCCGAAACCCGGUGAUCUAGCCAUGGGCAGGUUGAAGGUUGGGUAACACUAACUGGAGGACCGAACCGACUAAUGUUGAAAAAUUAGCGGAUGACUUGUGGCUGGGGGUGAAAGGCCAAUCAAACCGGGAGAUAGCUGGUUCUCCCCGAAAGCUAUUUAGGUAGCGCCUCGUGAAUUCAUCUCCGGGGGUAGAGCACUGUUUCGGCAAGGGGGUCAUCCCGACUUACCAACCCGAUGCAAACUGCGAAUACCGGAGAAUGUUAUCACGGGAGACACACGGCGGGUGCUAACGUCCGUCGUGAAGAGGGAAACAACCCAGACCGCCAGCUAAGGUCCCAAAGUCAUGGUUAAGUGGGAAACGAUGUGGGAAGGCCCAGACAGCCAGGAUGUUGGCUUAGAAGCAGCCAUCAUUUAAAGAAAGCGUAAUAGCUCACUGGUCGAGUCGGCCUGCGCGGAAGAUGUAACGGGGCUAAACCAUGCACCGAAGCUGCGGCAGCGACACUAUGUGUUGUUGGGUAGGGGAGCGUUCUGUAAGCCUGUGAAGGUGGCCUGUGAGGGUUGCUGGAGGUAUCAGAAGUGCGAAUGCUGACAUAAGUAACGAUAAAGCGGGUGAAAAGCCCGCUCGCCGGAAGACCAAGGGUUCCUGUCCAACGUUAAUCGGGGCAGGGUGAGUCGACCCCUAAGGCGAGGCCGAAAGGCGUAGUCGAUGGGAAACAGGUUAAUAUUCCUGUACUUGGUGUUACUGCGAAGGGGGGACGGAGAAGGCUAUGUUGGCCGGCGACGGUUGUCCCGGUUUAAGCGUGUAGGCUGGUUUUCCAGGCAAAUCCGGAAAAUCAAGGCUGAGGCGUGAUGACGAGGCACUACGGUGCUGAAGCGACAAAUGCCCUGCUUCCAGGAAAAGCCUCUAAGCAUCAGGUAACAUCAAAUCGUACCCCAAACCGACACAGGUGGUCAGGUAGAGAAUACCAAGGCGCUUGAGAGAACUCGGGUGAAGGAACUAGGCAAAAUGGUGCCGUAACUUCGGGAGAAGGCACGCUGAUAUGUAGGUGAAGCGACUUGCUCGUGGAGCUGAAAUCAGUCGAAGAUACCAGCUGGCUGCAACUGUUUAUUAAAAACACAGCACUGUGCAAACACGAAAGUGGACGUAUACGGUGUGACGCCUGCCCGGUGCCGGAAGGUUAAUUGAUGGGGUUAGCGGUAACGCGAAGCUCUUGAUCGAAGCCCCGGUAAACGGCGGCCGUAACUAUAACGGUCCUAAGGUAGCGAAAUUCCUUGUCGGGUAAGUUCCGACCUGCACGAAUGGCGUAAUGAUGGCCAGGCUGUCUCCACCCGAGACUCAGUGAAAUUGAACUCGCUGUGAAGAUGCAGUGUACCCGCGGCAAGACGGAAAGACCCCGUGAACCUUUACUAUAGCUUGACACUGAACAUUGAGCCUUGAUGUGUAGGAUAGGUGGGAGGCUUUGAAGUGUGGACGCCAGUCUGCAUGGAGCCGACCUUGAAAUACCACCCUUUAAUGUUUGAUGUUCUAACGUGGGCCCCUUACCGGGGUUGCGGACAGUGUCUGGUGGGUAGUUUGACUGGGGCGGUCUCCUCCUAAAGAGUAACGGAGGAGCACGAAGGUUGGCUAAUCCUGGUCGGACAUCAGGAGGUUAGUGCAAUGGCAUAAGCCAGCUUGACUGCGAGCGUGACGGCGCGAGCAGGUGCGAAAGCAGGUCAUAGUGAUCCGGUGGUUCUGAAUGGAAGGGCCAUCGCUCAACGGAUAAAAGGUACUCCGGGGAUAACAGGCUGAUACCGCCCAAGAGUUCAUAUCGACGGCGGUGUUUGGCACCUCGAUGUCGGCUCAUCACAUCCUGGGGCUGAAGUAGGUCCCAAGGGUAUGGCUGUUCGCCAUUUAAAGUGGUACGCGAGCUGGGUUUAGAACGUCGUGAGACAGUUCGGUCCCUAUCUGCCGUGGGCGCUGGAGAACUGAGGGGGGCUGCUCCUAGUACGAGAGGACCGGAGUGGACGCAUCACUGGUGUUCGGGUUGUCAUGCCAAUGGCACUGCCCGGUAGCUAAAUGCGGAAGAGAUAAGUGCUGAAAGCAUCUAAGCACGAAACUUGCCCCGAGAUGAGUUCUCCCUGACUCCUUGAGAGUCCUGAAGGAACGUUGAAGACGACGACGUUGAUAGGCCGGGUGUGUAAGCGCAGCGAUGCGUUGAGCUAACCGGUACUAAUGAACCGUGAGGCUUAACCUU